GCCCACUCGCUUAGAGAAAGAUUAUAAAACGUUGAAGUGCGUAGUUCUACCAAAUGGUUUAUAGCAGUUUUUUCGCAAACUUCUUUAGUAAUCUCUUCAUCAUGCACCCGCUUCCCUUAAACACUUCAUUAUAAACACUUCAUGGUAUUCAAUUUGAAUUUUACCAUUAUUAACUUCGAAGGUUUCUGCAAACGCGAAAACACAAUCUUUGUAUUCCCUAUCAAAAUUCUUGAUUUUCUUGCCCAAAAGUCCUGCAAUGAACUGAAGAACUAAAUGCCAUUUACCACUUUUAACAUGGUCGGAAAUGAACUUCUUUAUUUCAAGUGGAGCGAAUGUUUCAGUCACGUGUCUUGCAGCAA